GGCCGGAUGACCGAGUGGUUAAGGUGUCAGAUUUAAGUAAUGCUUGUUUCCUGAUGGGUAUACACCCGCGCGAGUUCGAUCCUCGCUUCGGCCA